rnacentral:lncRNA from 1 species
AGAGGUUGAUACUCUUCCCCUUACCCUUUCAAGGCCAUAUAAACCCUAUGCUUGAGCUAGCUAAUGUUCUACACUUCAGGGGCUUCUCCAUAACCAUCAUUCACACCAACUUCAACUCUCUCAACCCUUCAACCCAUCCUCACUUCACCUUCCACUCGAUCCCUGAUGGCCUAUCCGAAACUGAGACCUCCACAAAAGAUCCCGUCCUACUUAUUUCUUGUCUAAAUGCACACUGUUGUGAUCCUUUCCGGAACUGCCUGGCUAACUUGUUAUCUGAUGAUGGUUCAGAGGAGCCUAUUGCUUGUUUAAUCACUGACGCUCUCUUUUAUUUCACUAAAUCUGUUGCUAAGAGCCUCAAGCUUCCAAGGAUGCUGCUAAGAACAGGAAGUGCCACAUCGACUAUUGUUUAUGCCGUAUUUCCACUUCUAUGGGAAAAGGGUUACCUCCCAAAACAAGGUUAGUUUCUCUGAAAACACCUAGUUGCCUACUAAUGCCUCAGGUUUAUAUUCCUAAAUCCUCUACUAAUUAGGUCAUGUAUUUUCCAACUAUGCUCAAACUUAGACUGCUAUCUUUUUACUGUUUUGUUAGAAUCUCAACUAGAAGAGCCAGUGGUAGACCUGUCACCACUCAAAGUGAAAGACCUUCCAAUGAUGAACUCUUGUGACCCACAGGGAUAUUAUCAACUACUGAUUCAAAUGGUAAAGGAAAUCAAAACCGCAGAUGGAAUUAUUUUCAAUACUUUUGAAGAUCUUGAAGAACAAGCACUGGCUACAUUUCGACAAGAAUUUCCCAUCCCAGUUUUUCCAAUAGGUCCAUUUCACAAAUGGUUCUCAACCUCCUAUUCAAGUAGCUUAUUAUCAGAGGAUGAAAGUUGCAUUUCGUGGCUAAAUACUCAAGCACCAAAGUCUGUUGUCUAUGUUAGCUUUGGGAGCACUGCUGCAGUAAAUGAAGCUCAAUUUUUGGAAAUAGCUUGGGGAUUAGCCAACACCAAUCAGGCGUUCUUGUGGGUGGUUCGACCUGGAUUAAUCCAAGGCUCUGAAUGGCUAGAAAAAUUACCUCAAGGGUACCUGGAGGCUUUAGAUGGGAAGGGUCACAUUGUGAAAUGGGCACCACAGAAAAAGGUGCUGGCUCAUCCAGCUGUGGGACUAUUCUGGACUCACAAUGGGUGGAAUUCAACAUUGGAGAGUAUUUCUGAGGGGGUGCCUAUGGUUUGUAUGCCACAUUUCGCCGAUCAAAUGGUAAAUGCAAGAUAUGUAAGUGAUGUUUGGAGAGUAGGGUUGCAGUUAGAGAAUGGGAUCAAGAGAGACGAAAUUGAAAAAACAAUUCAAAAACUGAUGGCAGAGAAAGAAGGGGAAGAGAUCAAAGACGAAAUGUCAAUGCUUAAGGAGAAGACAAAUCUUUCACUCAGAGAAGGUGGCUCUUCAUACCAAUCCUUGGAUGGCUUGGUUAACCAUAUUCUAUCAUUAUAGUCACUGGACGUUGAUCAAAAUGUAUCAUAUUUUCAUCACUAUCAAGUCCCUGAUUGAUCAAAAUGUGUCUGUACUCUGUAGCAUAUCAUCUAUAGGCCAAACAGAAAAAACAGUACAUCAGACUGAGUUUAGAUCACGCAAGUAUUUAUCUGUAGUUCUAUCAAGUUUAGAUCUACGCAAGUAUUUAUAAAAAGACUCCGUUCCUUGUAUUCAGUAUUAUUGGUUUUGUACAAUUCCAGAACAGAACUAAAAGGCUCUUCUCUCUCUUUAUUCGUUUUUCUCUCAUAAUUAUAUAGCCUUUCACUCUUAUGCACUAUAUAUAUAUAUGAUCAAUUUCAGUUUACAUCCCUGAGGUUUAGGGUUAACAUUAUUUCACUCCUCAUAUUUAUAAUUUAAAAAAUUUACCACCUGAAAUUUUCAAUUUUUAUAAAUCAUGCCCAAUUGUUGAAAUUCUGUUUAAUUCAGACGUUAAUUUUGACUUCAUAACUCAUUAAAAAGGCUAAUAUAGUCUUAUAAUAACAUAAAUCUCCUCUUAGAAUUUUUUUUCUACUAUCUCAUGCUAUCAUUUAAUCACUUAACCUUCAAAUUGGACGAAAUUUUAGGAAUUAUGUAUGAUUUAUGAAAAUUGAAGACUUUAAGGGGUAAAUUUUUAAAAUUAAAAAUAUGGAGAGUGAAACGAUGUUAACCCUAAACCUCGGAGAGUAAAUUGAAAUUAAUCCUAAUAUAUACUCCACAUAAUUACAUAUUUCAGAAAAUUUUAUAUGAAAGUGAAAUGUGUAUUUUAAUCUAAUAAUGGGUUCAUUAUUAGAAGAUAAUCAACAGAAACAAUAAGAAUAAUACAGUCAUGAGUCAUUUCAGUGUCUAUUUCAGUGUCUAUGUUUUAUUCAAUGCACCUGCAAAUUAAGGGUCUACAUCUAGCAAACAAGUGGCAAAUAAAUUAAGACUAUGAGAGCUUGUAGUCAAAAAAAGGAUUAUGAUCCUCUCUUUGGCUGGCAGUUGUCUUUGGUUAUCCUUAACUUUGAAUCUCAUUCGUCCAUUUAAAAUCCUAAGGUUUAAAACCAUGACAGCUCAGCAAGUUCCCACUAAAACUCAUUAAAUGAGACAUUUUAAUUACAAACGUCGUUUCUAUGUCGACGGAGACGUUAAAAUGAUUGAGUUCUCUUUCUCUUCCUUUACUUCUCCGCCUUCAGCCGUCUUCUAGUUCUUACUCACCUUCUUGUCAUCUCUUCCUUUGUUCCUGGGGGAUAUUUAUUUUCAAAUCAGGAUUCGCACUAAAGCUCAAAUCGGAAAAGACCCACCAAGAAUUGUAAUCCAAUUUGGGAUGCAGUUGAAAGGUUUUGUUGAUAACCGUAGGUGUAAACCAGAAAUAACAAGAACAGCAGCUGAAAAGCCCGACCAAGAUUUGUUGAUUCAUUCCUUUCGAUUGGGUUUUAAAUUUGGUUUUUUUUUUUAUUUCGAAUGGGCGGCGCUGAAAGUGGCGACCUGGGUCGCGGCUUCUCUGUUUUCAACCCGGUCGGAUGAACUGUUGCCGACGAGGUCGUUGGAAGUGGGUUUGUGGUUGAUUCGGACUUGGAGUUGGUUUCGCUGAAGCUUUUGAUGACAACUUUGCUUCGGGAGCGGCGGCGGGCCGGCCACCAGAGACGGGAGCAGAGGCGGAGCAGGCGGGGAAAAUGGCUUUGGGUCAGAAAUUUGUUUUGGGUUGUGGGUUUGUUGGAGAAGGAGAAAAAAGAUGGAGUCUUUGAAAAUGAAGAAGACUCUGAGGAGUUGGGUUUGGCAUGAAUUUGUUGAAGGAAAUUGCAGGUGCUGGGUUUCUUGCACUCAGAUGAAUGUUGGGGGAGACGUUAAACUGUUGAAGGAGAGAUGAAAUAGAUAGAGAUGUAACAGCGUUAAGCAUUGAUAUAUGUGGAGUAUUAAAAGUACUGUAUUUAUUAUAGAGUUUGCUGAUGUGGGGUUUUAUUAGCCUUUAGAUUUUUCAUCAACGGUUGAUAAUAAAAGCUAAGGAUAAACAAAGGCACCUACCAACCAAUGAGAGGAUCCUAAUCCAAAAUAGAAAGAAAAGAAAUUAAGACAAUGAGAGACGUAACAAAUUAAACUUCAAACAUACAAUUUUGUGGAUCAAAACUGAUGACUAUCAGUGACCAGUCCAUCAAUAGAGAGAGAGAGAGUUGAUUAGAUGGUCAUUGACGGUGAUAACCAGCAAAACUGGAUCCACAAAAUUGUCAAUAGGUUAUAGCGCUAUGUUCAUUAAUAUAUAGAUAUGUAAAGAAAGAAUCAAAGAAACAACACUGGAACAAUUUAGACAUCAGGAGUAGGGAGCAAAGGGGACUCAAACCAGAGCCAAACAAUUUAGACUCCAUUUCGCUCUAAAGUUUAAUGGAGCAAAUUAGGAAAGGCAAGAGGUUGAUACUCUUCCCAUUACCCCUUCAAGGCCGUAUAAACCCUAUGCUUGAGCUAGCUAAUGUUCUACACUUCAGAGGCUUCUCCAUAACCAUCCUCCACACCAACUUCAACUCUCUCAACCCUUCAAACCAUCCUCACUUUACCUUCCACUCGAUCCCUGAUGGCCUAUCCGAAACUGAGACCUCCACAAAAAGUCACAUGCUCCUUGUUUCUUGUCUAAACGCAAACUGUCAUGAUCCUUUCCGAAACUGCCUAGCUAACUUGUUAUCCGAUGAUGGUUCAGAGGAGCCUAUUGCUUGCUUAAUCACUGACCCUCUCUUUGACUUCACUCGAUCUGUCGCUAAGAGCCUUAAGCUUCCAAGGAUGCUGCUAAGAACAGGAAGUGCCACAUCGACUACUGUUUUUGCCGCAUUUCCACUUCUAUGGGAAAAGGGUUACCUCCCCAAACAAGGUAAGUUCUUCUGAAAACACCUAGUUGCCUGGUGGCUAAGAUUUAUAAGCCUAGGUGUUUACUGCUUGAUGGGUCAUGUAUUUUUCAAUUAUCCUCAUACUUAGACAUCUAUGGUUUCACUGCUUUGUUAGAAUCUCAACUAGAAGAGCCAGUAGUAGAGUUGCCACCACUCAAAGUCAAGGACCUUCCAAUGAAUUCUGGUGACCCAAAGAUAUUUUAUCAACUAGUAACUGAACUGGCAAAUGAGGUCAAGACUUCAGAUGGAGUUAUUUUCAAUACUUCUGAAGAUCUUGAAGAACAAGAAUCCGACAAGACUUUCCCAUCCCAAUUUUCCCAAUAGGUCCAUUUCACAAAUGGUUCCCAACCUCCUAUUCAAGUAGCUUAUUAUCAGAGGAUGAAAGUUGCAUUUCGUGGCUAAAUACUCAAGCACCAAAGUCUGUUGUCUAUGUUAGCUUUGGGAGCACUGCUGCAGUAAAUGAAGCUCAAUUUUUGGAAAUAGCUUGGGGAUUAGCCAACACCAAUCAGCCUUUCUUGUGGGUGGUUCGACCUGGAUUACUCCAACGCUCUGAAUGGCUAGAAAAAUUACCUCAAGGGUACCUGGAGGCUUUAGAUGGGAAGGGUCACAUUGUGAAAUGGGCACCACAGAAAAAGGUGCUGGCUCAUCCAGCUGUGGGACUAUUCUGGACUCACAAUGGGUGGAAUUCAACAUUGGAGAGUAUUUCUGAGGGGGUGCCUAUGGUCUGUAUGCCAAUUUUUGCCGAUCAAAUGUUAAAUGCAAGAUAUGUCAGUGAUGUUUGGAGAGUAGGGUUGCAGUUAGAGAAUGGGAUCAAGAGAGACGAAAUUGAAAAAACAAUUCGAAAACUGAUGACAGAGAAAGAAGGGGAAGAGAUCAAAGACAAAAUGUCAAAGCUUAAGGAGAAGACAAAUCUUUCACUCAGAGAAGGUGGCUCUUCAUACCAAUCCUUGGAUGGCUUGGUUAACCAUAUUCUAUCAUUAUAGUCACUGGACGUUGAUCAAAAUGUAUCAUAUUUUCAUCACUAUCAAGUCACUGAUUGAUCAAAAUGUGUCUGUACUCUGUAGCAUAUCAUCUAUAGGCCAAACAGACAAAUCAGUACAUCAGACUGAGUUUAGAUCACGCAAGUAUUUAUAUGUAGUUCUAUCAAGUUUAGAUCUACGCAAGUAUUUAUAAGAAGACUCCGUUCCUUGUAUUCAGUAUUAUUGGUUUUGUACAAUUCCAGAACAGAACUAGAAGGCUCUUCUCUCAUAAUUAUACAGGCUUUCACUCUUAUGCACUACUUAUAAUAUAUAGGAUUAAUUUCAGUUUACACCCCUGAGGUUUAGGGUUAACAUCAUUUCACUUCUCAUACUUAUAAUUUUGAAAAUUUACACCCUAAAGUUUUCAAUUUUCAUAAAUCAUGUCCAAUUGCUGAAAUUUUGUCUAAUUCAGACUUUAAUUUUGACUUCAUAACUCACUAAAAAGGCUAAAAUAGUCUUAUAACAACAUAAAUCGCUUUUUAGGACUUUUUUCCUACGAUUUCAUGCUAUCAUUUAACCUCCAAAUUGGACGAAAUUUUAGCAAUUGUGUUUUGACUUUAUGUAAAAAUUGGAGACUUUAAGGGGUAAAUUUUUAAAAUUAAAAGUAUGAGGAGUGAAACGAUGUUUAACCCUAAAUUUUGAAAAUUUACACCCUAAAGUUUUCAAUUUUCAUAAAUCAUGCCCAAUUGCUGAAUUUCUGUCUAAUUCAGACGUUAAUUUUGAUUUCAUAACUCACUAAAAAGGCUAAAAUAGUCUUAUAACAACAUAAAUCGCUUUUUAUUAUUUUUUUCCUACGAUCUCAUGCUAUCAUUUAACUUCCAAAUUGGACGAAAUUUUAGCAAUUGUGUCUGAUUUAUGAAAAUUGGAGACUUUAGGGGUAAAUUUUUACAAUUAAAAAUACGGGGAGUGAAACGAUGUUAACUUUAAACCUCAGGGGGUAAAUUGAAAUUAAUCCUAAUAUAUACUCCACAUAAUUACAUAUUUCAGAAAAUUUUAUAUGAAAGUGAAAUGUGUAUUUUAAUCUAAAAUGGGUUCAUUAUUAGAAGAUAAUCAACAGAAACAGUAAGAAUAAUACAGUCAUGAGUCAUUUCAGUGUCUAUGUUUUAUUCAAUGCACCUGCAAAUUAAGGGUCUACAUCUAGCAAACAAGUGGCAAAUAAAUUAAGACUAUGAGAGCUUGUAGUCAAAAAAAGAAAUAAAAGAAAUUAAGACUACGAGAGACGUGACAAAUUAAAGUUCAAACAUACAAUGUUGUCAAUAGGUUAUAGUGCUAUGUUCAUUAAUAUAUAGAUAUGUAAAGAAAGAAACAACACUGGAACAAUAUAUUUAGACUCCAGGAGUAGGGAGCAAAGGGGACUCAAACCAGAGCCAAGCAAGUUAGACUCCAUUCGCUCUAAAUUUUAAUGGAGCAAAUUAGGAAAGGCCAGAGGUUAAUACUCUUCCCGUUACCCUUUCAAGGCCAUAUAAACCCUAUGCUUGAGCUAGCUAAUGUUCUACACUUCAGAGGCUUCUCCAUAACCAUCCUCCACACCAACUUCAACUCUCUCAACCCUUCAAACCAUCCUCACUUCACCUUCCACUCGAUCCCUGAUGGCCUAUCCGAAACUGAGACCUCCACAAAAAGUCCCAUGCUCCUUGUUUCUUGUCUAAACAGACGCUGUCAUGAUCCUUUCCGAAACUGUCUAGCUAACUUGUUAUCCGAUGACGGUUCAGAGGAGCCUAUUGCUUGCUUAAUCACUGACCCUCUCUUUAACUUCACUCAAUCUGUCGCUAAGAGUUUUAAGCUUCCAAGGAUGCUGCUAAGAACAGGAAGUGUCACAUCGACUAUUGUUUAUGCCGCAUUUCCACUUCUAUGGGAAAAGGGUUACCUCCCGAAACAAGGUAAGUUCUUCUGAAAACACCUAGUUGCCUAAUGGCUAAGAUUUAUAAGCCUAGGUGUUUACUGCUUGAUGGGUCAUGUGUUUUUCAAUUAUCCUCAUACUUAGACAUCUAUGGUUUCACUGCUUUGUUAGAAUCUCAACUAGAAGAGCCAGUAGUAGAGUUGCCACCACUCAAAGUCAAGGACCUUCCAACGAACUCUUGUGACCCAAAGAUAUUUUUGCAACUAAUAACUGAAUGGGGAAAUGUAAUCAAGACUUCAGAUGGAGUAAUUUUCAAUACUUCUGAAGAUCUUGAAGAACAAGCACUGCUUACAAUCCGACCAGACUUUCCCAU